rnacentral:rRNA from 1 species
ACGGGGGGUGCGAGCGUUGUCCGGAAUCACUGGGCGUAAAGGGCGCGUAGGCGGGUCAGCAAGUCGGGUGUGAAAGUCCAGGGCUUAACCCUGAAUCUGCAUUCGAAACUGUUGGUCUUGAGUACUGGAGAGGUAAGUGGAAUUCCUGGUGUAGCGGUGAAAUGCGUAGAUAUCAGGAGGAACACCGUUGGCGAAGGCGGCUUACUGGACAGAUACUGACGCUGAGGCACGAAGGUCGGGGGAGCAAACAGGA